UACGUAGGGGGCGAGCGUUGUCCGGAAUUAUUGGGCGUAAAGAGCUCGUAGGCGGUUUGUCGCGUCUGCCGUGAAAGCCCGGGGCUUAACUCCGGGUCUGCGGUGGAUACGGGCAGACUAGAGGCAGGUAGGGGAGAACGGAAUUCCCGGUGUAGCGGUGAAAUGCGCAGAUAUCAGGAGGAACACCGAUGGCGAAGGCAGGUCUCUGGGCCGAUACUGACGCUGAGGAGCGAAAGCGUGGGGAGCGAACAGG
rnacentral:rRNA from 1 species